GGGGAUGAUCGGUUUCGACGGUGAUCGUCGAUCCAGGGGAAGCGGGCCGAGGAUGCGUGGUCAUCUCGUUAACGCCCUGCGCACACCAAUAGGUGCCGAUAACAAGAGCACCGACUUCGCUCUCGCCGCCUAGGCGUUAGCAGGUCCGUCAGACCGGGAUUGCUCUCGACCCGGAUCCUGGCGUCGCCAAGGGAGCUCAGACCCACGGUCCUCGUUGCCGGGACCGUGGGGACACCAAACGGCAACUGGGCCCGGUCACCACUUCGUCUGCGAGGAGGGUGAGGGCCGAGAAAACCCGAUGCAGAAUGCGCCCGGAGAAGCCCUGGUUCAAUGUCAUCGGACGCGGGUUCGAUUCCCGCCAUCUCCACCA
rnacentral:tmRNA from 1 species